GAAGUGAUAUUACUACAGACAAACAGCGAUGUAGCUACUAAAUCUUUUGUUCAGUUAUACCAGUUGCAUUAUUUAUCAACGAUCGUUUUCAUUCACCGCUUGCAGAUAAAAAAAUAAACAUACGUUGUGUGGUUCAUAUUUUUGUUAGUACAAAACGCAAUGUCGCAGUUUUUCUACACGUUAUUCAAACCUAUUUUUGGUGUUAAUUGCAGAAACACUGUUGAGUAAAAACAUUAAUUUUUUUUUUAUUUGCAUCGCUCGACAAAUGAGUUGACGUGUAUAUAUAUACAUUUAUUUAUACGCAUAGUGGAGAAAUAUAAAUUAACCGUAAUGACGAGUCGGUUAAAAUUAAACACAACAGCUAUAUCAAUAUGUCUUAACUCACCGUAACUGCCCUUCAUUCACCGUAUGCAAAUUCACCGAAAUUCUUUACACUCCUACGAACGCAGCACUCGCACAAGCAGCCAUCAGGCACGGAAAUCACUUUGCUGAGAAUAAUUGUGCUCUGCGUCAAGAAAAUAUAGUUCCGAGGGAAGAGCGACCGCUUUCAAAGAAAGGUGUCUGAAAUACAGUUAAAACAACCAGUGUUGAUUCAUUAGACGAUCAAACAUCUUAUUUUCAUUGAGUAAUUUUAUUUCCUGACAUUAAUCACUUCCCGGUGUAUGCGAGCGUAAAAGUAGUUCACGCAUUUUUUCCCCCCUUCAAUAUGGUUGUUGUGUACGUUCGAUGUUUAGUUCUAUUUAGUCGUCUCAUUUAAAAAGGUAAAAGUCGUUUCGCAUUCAUUUCGGGUGUUGGGAUGGCGGCUCACCACCUGUUCCGAGGCCACAGCUUCUCGGCCCUGCGCCUCCGGCAUGCGAUUCACCUGUGCGUGGCCCACCAACACGUGUACCUCGACGAGCGCGUGGGCUACAUCAAGCCGGUCGCGUACUGCCGUGCCGUGGCGGGCGUCGCACGUGAAGCCGAGUGAGCUCGGUGAUGCUGAAGGGGGGGCCUGCGUCUAGUCAUAGAUUUACUUCAACCCUUCGUCGUAAUCCCCUACCUCCUUUCUUAACUGAUAGUGCGUGGGGGUUACAUCGCUCCGUGUGGAGUACCCACGAUCCCAAGUGAUUGACGUUUCACCAUCCACUGUGUGUUUUAUCGUCUCGUAUGUUACUCAAAACUUGUACAAAAGUCUUAAAUCAUUCCAGCAAUCUUUAUGGUGUAUUCUAAUUUUGUUAGAUGUGAAAUAUUGUCUUCAGUUUUUAAAUGGUUAAUUUGAAAGGCGAUUGAGCCAUCGUUCAUUCGUUGUAUUAAUGGUGUUUCACUUUCUUUACUCAGGAGUUGAUCUUCACUAUUUCCUCUUUGUUUUAUGAGCUCUUUUGUCUUGUUGCAAGUAAUUUGUUUAAGUUUAAAAAAAGAAGUGAUGGUGUUUUGUUGUUUCUGAUUACUUUAUAUCCGAGUACAGCGUGUAGACUGUUUUCGUGAUAUUGUGAUGUUUCAAGCUAAUGUUAGCAAAUGUACUGCAAGUUUUCUCUUAAAAAUAUUGUUGGAUUCUUGUCGGGAUUCCUUUUACUAUAUGUUCCACUUGUCGGCAGCAUCUUGCCAUCAGCCAACUGAUUACGUUGGCUUAACACUUGUCACUUUUGUACCUCAAUUGCAAGACUGUUAUUUUUGUUUCGUUUGAGCUGGAUCCGUUUCUCAACACCACCUUUCAGGUUUCUACUAAGGCAUGCUAUCCUUUUGUGGACCUGAGGCAUAGAUGUUAGCUGGUAUUUGGAGGGAGCUGCAUACAUGAAGUCUGAUCUUGUAACGUACAAAGUGAUGACGGAUAGAAGAAAAUAAAUCUCAAAAAGCAUUAUGAUAAAGUUUUUUUUAUAUGUCAAUGUUGUUGCUUACAGCAAAUUAGCAAAGAAACUGUUAAUUUAUUUAGUUAUAGUAUAAAUGUAAAAAUCUCACAACAGAAUUGGAACUAACUUAUCUUGCCAUAUUUUUAUGACUGUAUUUAAAACUUGGGAUCAAAGACAGUAUUUUGUAUAGUUAUAAGUUUUAUGUUCAUGCAAGUUAAUUACGAAGACUGGAAUGAAACAUAGUUAAAAAAAAAAAAGGUUGUGUCAACUACGCGUUCAAUAUAGUUAUAGGUAAUAGUCGGUAAUUAUUCAUGAUCAUGCCAAAUUUUCGAUACUUUUGUCAAUUCUGCAUAGUUUAUUUUUGUUAUGUAAAUUGAAAAGCUUACCAAUUUUUUGGGUGAAAUUUUUAUAUACGUACUUGGAAAUGGCACCAAAAAAAAUAAUGGAAAAUUUUUCAUUUUUUUCUGUUAGUGGCAACUUAGCUAAUUUUUUACUUUUAUAAAACUUUGUGAAUAACAAUGUAUAAACAGCUCAAAAACUUAAAAAACUUGGCUUGUUAAGUGAAGACGUUUGUCUGGAACCAUUAGAAUGUUUAACGUGGUGCACAUUAUCCACAAUAUUUUACAAAAUUCCAUUUAGAGUUUAGCAUGCAAGUUUUGACAACACUAAUAAGAUUGUGUUAAACCACCACUUAUUUUAAAAUUACUUAAACAGCUCCUGUUUGCUGUAAAAAGACAAAAAUAUUUUAUUUUAAAAGGAUGAUACCUGUGUAAAGUUCCAGAAAAUUUAAAAAUCAAAAAUGCAUGAAAUUAAAAAAAAAAUCAUAGCAUUUCAUCUCUGAUCUCAAUGUCAAGAUAUUAAACAAUACAACCAUUCAGCUUUAUUUAGAAUUGUAUAUUGUAGACAUUGUUCAAUAAGACCAGCAUUCUUUCUUUUUAAGGCAGUAAUUGUAGUAUAUCAAGCUGGCUACGCAUUUGCAAGCACCGGUACUGAACAGUUACAAUGGGAUAAGUUGUAGGUACCAAGACUUUGGUGUAUAGUGUUGUAAUAAAUUCAUAACUCUGAUAACUGUAAGGUAAGAUAUAAAGAAUGAUUUUAAAUAUCAGAUAAAUAUUUUUCUAUACAGUAGAACCUCGAUUAUCCAUGACCUGAUUAACCGAGCAUUUGGUUAACUGGGUUCUCAAUUAAAAAAAAAAAUUUAAGGGGGUUGGGGGGAAGGAACCAAGCCAACGAAGUGUAAUUCAUUAGGGAAGGGACAACUAAAAACUACGUACAGAAAGGACUGGACAAAGAAAUGGACUAGAAUUGCCAGUGAGAGAAAAUACUAGUCCGUGUUAAGCUGGAUUAAAAGCACAAAACAACUGCCCUUCCUUUCCAGAAUCGCUUCCUGCCCUUCUUGUCAGUAAUACUUGUACAUAUGUUUUGUAUAAAUAACUUAUGAAAUUUUACUGUAUUGUAUAACCUAAAUACAUUUGAAUUCGAUAAUCCGUGAUUUUCGCUUAUCUGUGCUGACCUUCCCCUCAUUACCCCGGUUAAUUAAGGUUCUACUGUAUUUGUUUUUUUUUUUAAACUUUAAUUUAUUUAAUUUACUAUUAUAGUUUAGAGGUUUUGUUGCAUAAACAGACUAUAGUACUAUAACUUAUGUUUGCUAAAAUAGUUUUAUACAAUAGAACUCUAUUUUUUUAGUUCUGUUAUUUAUCAAACCAAAUAAUUGCUCAAGUAAUCUUCCUCGAUGUUUAAAGGGUAUUAAUCCUUCAAUAUAUUUCAAUGUAUUUUUGCUCAUGUUUAAUCCAUCCCACCUGAGAAAAUAUAUUUUAACAAAUAUUACGUGAUGUUUAUUACUGUCUAGUACUUUAAAAUGUAUCAUAAUUGAUUGAAAUUUAUAUUCUGUAUUUGAAUGUAAUGCAUGUUUAUAGGUUAAUAUUUGGAAGUAGUAUGUAUAAAAUUCUCAUUGGAGAAAUAAUGGCACACACAGUAUAUGUUGACCAUUCAAAUUCAUGUUAAGAGAUGCUGUGGGGUUAGCACAGGUAAUGCUAUACAUAAAAGUACUUUAAAACUUUUAUACUUGCAGAAUAAUACCUACAAUGUGAAAGGUACCAUGUACUUUCUUAAUACCUUUUGCAUUUCUGUUAAUAUACCAGCUAAGAUUGUGUACUGCUUUUUUCUCUUACUAAGCAAUAUUUCUUAAUUUAUUUAGACUUCUCAAAAACUUAUACCUGCAUAUUCCUUUACCUAAAGCUGAGAACUUUAUAAGUAAAAUGUACCUUCUGACUUGACUAUGCUAUGUUUGUCCUGAAUUUAGCCAGAGUAAGAUCAGAGACAGCGUGCAAGGGCAUUAAGAUUAAAUAAGUCCAUUUUCAUUUGUGAAUGCCCACAAUCUACACAUACAGCUAUAGUUCUUUUCUUAGUAUAGAUUUGAGUCUCUUAUAGGGUACUUAUUCAGCUAUUAAUUCUACCAGAAAACCUAUUUAAUAUCUGCACCAACCAUUCAAAGUCCUUGUCAGUUGUCAUGGACAGAUGUUCAGCGUCCACAAAUCCCAAGACGGUGCUAACCCCAAACAGUCGUCGUCAAGUGAUCGUCAGUUCGCCUCUUUGGCUGUUGUCAGGAUAUUCUGGCCGCUGCUGGUGCAGUGCCGUUCUAGGAUUGGCUGGUUCUAUGUAAUUUAAUGUGAUCCUUCAAUUAUCAUUUUUAUUCAUACUAAGGUCAUGCACAGCAAAGAAAUGUUGUGACAUUUCUGCUGUCAGAUUGUCUAAAUGUUUUUACUUGUCACUUCCUUUGUAAGAAUGUCUCUACUCCAUCAGUUAAUUCUAUUUUAAAUUAUUGCUCUCAUAUUCAAUAAUUGUUUAUAAGAUUUUUUUUUACACACCUUUAAGUGUGUUAUAAAAUGUUACUUGAUUGUAGCAUAAGCAACUAAAGUUAGCAAAACUGAAUUUCUCCAACUAUGCUUAUUUAUUUUAGCUGUCAGGAAUGAAAGGAAAUUAAUUUCUUGUGAAGAUUUAGUGAAAAAAGUGGUAACUGCUAACUUGGAGCAUUAUACAAUUUAGUUUUACUUUAAAACUAAUUAAUUUAACAUUGUGUGCUGUACUUUUGUUGUGAGAUGUUUGUUAUAAUAUUUGUUAUACUAGCAUAUGAGGUUCAUAAAUAGACGUAAACUGAAUGUUGUUUUAACUCCGGUGUUUUCCGUCUGUUGUAAUAGUGUGUACUUGUCAGAAACAUCUUAGUUUUAAGAAUAACCUAAAUUUUAAUUUUUUUCUUUGCUAUAAUUUAAAAAAAUAUUCACCAUUUUAUGUUUAAUAUUGCGUGCACAAUAUUAUUGUUUGUCAAAGUUCCAUGAGUACAAACAUGAAUAGAAUAGUAUUUAGCUCUAGUUGAAAUACCCAAGUCUGUAAGAAAUUCGUUUAUGCUAGCACAAAAAUAGUAACAGUGAUCGAAAAUUGUGUAAGCUCAUUUGACACCAAUUAAACUUAAGUGUCAAGGAAGCAAUCCAAGUGUCUGUAUAAACAUUUCAGAAAAUCUGGAAAAAAAAAAAAAAAAUCUGAUAUCUGUCAAGUUAUAUAGUAGUAGUAAGGAGCCACAGGAAUACACUUUUGUAUCAAUCUUCAGCAGGGGUGCCAAACUGGUGGUCUACGGGCCACGAAAGGUUGUUUUGUGUUUCACCCUGCUUCCAUAGUGAUGUAUAUAAAACAUACUUGUUCCCAUUUCUACCAAGAUAAAUCAAACAGCAUUUUACAAGAUGCUCAUAAAUAAUGGAGUAUAAAAUAACUUCUACUACAAACUACAUUUUUAUAAAAUGUUUGUGGCAUAAAUGUAUUUAUCGUAAUUAGUAUUUUUGUCUUCAUUUUUCUAUAUUUAAUUAUACCUUAAUAUUCCAUAUUCAAGAGUAAGACUUUGAAUAAACUAAAAUACACAUUUUCAACUGAACAUUAUUUACAUACAUUCAAACAAUAACGAAGUUCUGCAUUUGGUUGGAUAUCAGUAAUUUCUUAAGCAGAAUAAUAUGAAUUGUACACUAUAUAUUAAGUAAUGUUUUAUACUUAACUAGAGACCUGCCUUUGCUUUGCAUGUUAGCAAUCUACUAAUGUGGUGUCAUUUAGAUUUAUUAAGCAAGUACUCUUAAGUACAGUACAAAGUUUGUGUCUGGUGUACUAAUAUAUAUUGCCUAUAACUAAAGAAUUUAUUUGCAAACAAAUUUGACAAUUUUCUCAUGACACUACAAAAAAAUAUUGGUUUAGAAGUCAACACCCGAAAAGGCUACAUAUAGCUGUCCAUGUGAAAAGCACUCUAUGCUUAAAUCUAAUCCUGCAACAUUAAAUGUUUGACCCUGCACUUUAUUUAUUUUAUUUAAAAUGACAAGUUUUACUGGGAAUUGAAGUAAUUUAAAUUUAAAUGGUAGAUUCGUUGGUAUUAAUUGUCAGCGGAAUAAAAAUGACUUCUCCAGUUCAACAAUUGGACAGAAUUGUGAAAUAAAAGAGGUUAAAAGAUAGAAGAUAGAUAUAUACUAACCUGGACUUUUUUUUUUAUAGGACUUUAAGACAUACCAUUCUGUAGCACAUUAAUUUAAUGUAUCAGCAAUGUAUAAGUCAGCAUAAGCCAUGUAAGAACUCUAAAAGCAUAUUUUUGUGAUAUGAUUACAAAAAAUUUUGAUCUCUCCACUAUCUUUCAAUUUAAUAUGAGUGAUACACACAAACCUGAUGGAAUAAAUUCUCUUAAUGAUGGUGAAAACAGCAUCAAAUUACACUGUAGUUUAGAAGAACAAAUAGAUGCGGAUAGCAACUGUUAUAUACUAAGUAGAGAUUUACAUAUAUUACAUUUAUUCUGUAAAACUCUUUUGAAUUAUUUUCAGAUACAGACAUUUAAGAGGGUUUUUUUUUUCCAACCCCUGAUUGGCUGUAAUAAAAAAACGGGAAUGAAUUGGGAAAUUAUUUUAAUGUCAAAAGAAACGUACAUCUUUACUCUAUUUUUCCACGUAAUCACCGUGCAGAUUGAGGCAUUUGUCGUACCGAUGCACCAGCUUUCCAAUACCCUCUGCAUAAAAUGAUGCCUCCUGCCUAUUCAGCCACGUUUUAACAGUGCUCUGCAGUUCAUCAUUGGUGUUGAAGCGUCGUCCUCCAAGCCACUUUUUCAACGUGGGGAAAAGGUGAUAGUCACUCGGUGCCAAAUCCGGACUGUAAGGAGGGUGAUCAAACACUUCCCAUCGAAAUCUUGCAAGGAGUUGUUGUGUUACGGCGGCACUAUGCGGUCGGGCGUUGUCAUGAAGCAAGACAACACCAGAUGUCAGCAUUCCUCUCCGCGUGUUGCGUAUCGACUGUCUAAGCCGUCGUAGUGUCGCGCAGUAUGCAGCAGCAUUGAUUGUUGUCCCUGGCUCCGUGAAAUCAACCAGUAGUACACCUUGGUGAUCCCAGAACACUGUAGCCAUCUGUUUCUUGGUGCUGAAUGUCCGUUUUGAACUUUUUCGGCUUGUUUGGAGAAUAGGUGUGCAUCCACUGUUGUGAUUGAAGUUUUGUUUCUUCAUUAUCGAAAUGAAUCCAUGUUUCAUCACCUGUCACAAUUUGAGUCAAAAAGUGUUCACCAUCGUCUGCGUAACGCAGCAUAAACGACAAGGCUGAUGCCAUUCGCCGUUCCUUGUUGAUGUCAGUCAACAUCUUGGAUAACCAUCGGGCACAGAUUUUCCUGUCUCCAACAUUGUAACAAUGGCGUAUAGGGCUGACCUUGAAAUGAGCGGAAAUUGUUCAGACAGUUCUGAAAUCUUGAAUAGACAUCUCUCACGAACAACUGUAUCAACUCUCUGAACUGUUUCAUCUGUUGCUACAGACUUCCUUCCUUGGCCACCUUCAUCAUGAACAUCAAUACGGCCUUCGCGGAAUUUCCGACACCACUCUCGCAAAACGCCAUCGCUCAUAAAGUUUUCACCGUACACAACACUCAUUCGGCGAUGGAUUUCUGCUGCAGUGUGCCCUUCUGCCUGUAAGAAACGGAUGACUCCACGCAGCUCGCAUUUCGCCGUACAGUUUAUCGUUGCAGCCAUGUUGACAUUCCCAUAACCAAGCUUCAACUGAGGUGUGAGUUGGCCGCUCCACAUGGUUGGUGGAAGGGGGUAAACACUACGAGACGUGUCGAUUCGUUUACGAGCGAUUAGGGUAUCGAUUAAUGGGCAUGCCAUGGAGAAAUGAAACUGUAAUCACACUGCAGGACACUGUUAAAACGUGGCUGAAUAGGCAGGAGGCAUCAUUUUAUGCAGAGGGUAUUGGAAAGCUGGUGCAUCGGUACAACAAAUGCCUCAAUCUGCACGGUGAUUAUGUGGAAAAAUAGAGUAAAGAUGUACUUUUCUUUUGACAUUAAAAUAAUUUCCCAAUUAAUUCCCGUUUUUUUCUUACAGCCGAUCGGAGGUUGAAAAAAAAAUAACCCUUGUAUAUUUCCCCAAAUUUCUUCCCCUCUUUCUCUUGUAAACUUCAGAAACACUUUUAAAUUGUAGAAAGUAUCAGUUAAAAGUACUUUUUUUAUAGUAUAGUUAUAUUUUCCAAUAUCAUCUCGAACCUAAUAUUAUUCGGUAAAGUAUUUAAAAAGUAUUCCACCUGUAGGCUGGAUCUCUAUUGCAAACUGAGUGGUGGUGUGUUUUGUUGGUCAAGUAUUGUAGUUACGAGUUUGGCACCCCAACCAUUCAGGUUGUGUUGGCAUCUUAUAGUUCAGUCUGGCCCACUGGCCAAUAUUGGUUGAUUUCAUGUUAUUCAUUGGUGUUUUUCCUCAAAUAUUCAAUCAAAUGCACAGAAAUCGCACGACCAGUCCUGUUAGCACGGUUGCACAUUUAAGUACAAGCUGUGAUGUUUUAAUUUUAGUGUAUAUGUGCGUUGCAAGGACGUUGCAAGUUAGAGAUCUUUCCAUUUUGGGGGGAGAGCUCUCGAAAGCUGUGUACUUCUUGAGGCUGUGUUAUAAUAAUUGUGUGCAGCUGUUGUUCAGGGCAGUGAUGUAGUUUAAAUGUUGGUGCUUAGAUUAAAACUUUCAUUUUAAGGUUUUGUGUUUGUGUGUGUUAGGUGGCUAUUUAAAGAUCACCUACAUAUUUGUAACUAAAGCUUUUUGUCUUAUUUUGUCAUGGUUACUUACUACUGGAUAACAUUUGGUUAAUCCACUGAUGGGCAAUAGUUAGUCCUAUUUUAGAAAUGUUUUUACUGGAUUUAGCACAAAUACAGAAAAAAAUGUAACAUGGGUUAAGCGUAAGUGAAACGGGCUAAACAAAAAAAAAACUCUUAAAGUAAAUAACUAAAUAAUUUGAGACAAUGUUUGCAUUUAAUGAAACCAUUUUAUAUGUGCAAGUGAUUUUUAUUUAUGUAGACGUCAAUACUGUCUGUGUUUAAAAAUUAAUCCUUUUUAUUUUUGGUAAAAAAAAAUAUUUUUAGCUAGAUGUGGUAUUUGGUAUGUAAUUAUUUAUGAUUAUUUUUAUUUUGGAUAUGAAAAUGAAAUUACUUUCCUGCCCAUUCUAAAAAACAAAACUGAGAUAUAGUAUAUAAAAAAGGCACAGAUAAGAAAUUUUUUAGUUGGUAGUUAGUGUAAUUAUUAGUUACUAGUUGCGCUUGUGAGUUCAUUGGAAUGGAGAAAGUAACUGUCACAGUUUAUUUGGAUUGAACAAACUUAACCCCAUAAGAAUGACAAAUGAGGACAAAAAUUUUUUUAGACCAACAACUUAUGACUAAGCAUUGUAAUGCUUUAAAGAAAUCAUAUUUUGUAUAGUUAUCAUAUCUUCGGAAAAAUUUCAGGUUUAAACACUAAAUUAAUCCUUGGUUUACUUGUGUGAAUUUCAAGUUAAUAACAUGAGCAGUUUAGUAGCUAAUCUUCUUAUACAGAUAGACAAAAAAUGUUUUAACAUAUAUGGUUUAGGUAUUUAAUUUGGAAACGGGAAAAAUAAUAUUUUUAUAAUACAGUGAUUAUUUGUUGUAAUGGAAUUCACUCUGUAAGUUACAGAAAAAGGCCUGGUAUUGCAAUUUCCAAAGAAACUUGCCAAUGUAUUAAAUUAAAUACCCUUAGUUAUAGAUAGCUUAUGUCGAAAUAAGUGGUGAAUAAUGUAGAUAUUAUGGACAUAACUGAACACAUUCUGGAAUAAAUUAAGCCUAUUCAUUAUGAAAUAAUAAUUAUUUACCUAUUUUUGUAAAGAGUACCAUUGCUGUGACUUCAUAUAAAUGUCAUGUGUUUAUUUUAUUGAAACAAAAGUAUAGUUUUUGUAUUUUUUUGUUCUAACAUAAUAAAUUAUGGAAGGUAUGUGUUGUACUAUGAAACAAAAUUAAGCUAGGUUUUAUCUAUUUAAUUGAAUACAUAUACAGGGAAUAGUGCAUAAGAAAGUUAAAACUUUGCAAGCUUAUUGUGUUUCUAUCCUUUGUCAACGGUUAUUUUGAAUGUAGCACUACCGUAACUUGUUUACUACGUUGAAACUUGUACAGGUAUUGUGUAAGUAUAGUAAGUUUGGUUUGAUUUUUUAUGGUUUAUAAACUUCAAACCAAAUGUUGCCAGAUCUAAGUAAGGAUAUUUAUUUUAAGGGUUUAAUUUAAAUGUUAUUCUUUUUUAUGUACAAUUAAGUUUAGGUUUUUUUUACUGUACAAAUGUUAGUGAUAAAUAAAACUGUUCUGUAGUGAUAAUUGACAGUGUCUAUUCAUUCAAUUAAAAUGAUUUUAUAUAGCAGUAUAAUUUUAUUGGUCCAGUAGAUACAUAUGUAUCAC